rnacentral:rRNA from 1 species
AAGCACCGGCUAACUCCGUGCCAGCAGCCGCGGUAAUACGGAGGGUGCGAGCGUUAAUCGGAAUUACUGGGCGUAAAGGGUGCGUAGGUGGUUAAUUAAGUUAUCUGUGAAAUCCCUGGGCUCAACCUGGGCAGGUCAGAUAAUACUGUUUAACUCGAGUAUGGGAGAGGGUAGUGGAAUUUCCGGUGUAGCGGUGAAAUGCGUAGAGAUCGGAAGGAACACCAGUGGCGAAGGCGGCUACCUGGCCUAAUACUGACACUGAGGCACGAAAGCGUGGGGAGCAAACAGGAUUAGAUACCCUGGUAGUCCACGCUGUAAACGAUGUCAACUAGCUGUUGGUUAUAUGAAUAUAAUUAGUGGCGCAGCAAACGCGAUAAGUUGACA